UGGUUUCUCCAUUCAUAGUUUAUGAGAGUUUUGUUGGGUAUGGUAACCUGGGCUGGCAUUGGUGUUCUAUUAGUGUCUGUAUAACAACUGUUCAGGAUCUUCUGGCUUUCAUGGUCUCUGGUGAGAAGUCUGGAGUAAUUCUAAUAGGCCUGCCUUUAUAUGUUACUAGACCUUUUUCCCUUACUCCUUUUAAUAUUCUGUCUUAGUUUAGUCCAUUUGUUGUUCUGAUUAUUAUGUGUCAGGAGAAAUUCUUUUUCUGCUCCAAUCUAUUUGGAGUUCUGUAGGCUUCUUGUAUGUUCAUGGGCAUCUCUUCCUUUAGGUCAGGGAAGUUUUCUUUUAUAAUUCUGUUGAAGAUAUUUGCUGGUCCUUUAAGUUGAAAAUCUUCAUUCUCAUCUACUACUAUUAUCUGUAGGUUUGGUUUUCUCACUGUGUCCUGGAUUUCCUUGAUCUUUAGAAUUAGCAUCUUUUUGCAUUUUGUAAUUUCUUUGAUUGUUGUGUCAUGUUUUCUAUGGAAUCUUCUGCACCUGAGAUUCUGUCUGUCUUGUAUUCUGUUGUUGAUGCUCACAUCUAUGGUUCCUGAUUUCUUUCCUAGUGUUUCUAUCUCCAGAGCUCUCUCCCUUUGUGUGCUUUUGUUUUUUAUUGUUUCUACUUUUAUUUUUAGAUCCUGGAUGGUUUUGUUCAAUUCCAUCACCUGUUUGUUAGUGUUUCCUGUAACUCUCUAAGGGUAUUUGCAUUUCCUCUUUAAAGGCUUCUAGCUGUUUACCUGUGUUUUCCUGUAUUUCCUUCUUAAAGUCCUCCAUCAUCAUCAUGAGAAGUGACUUUAGAUCCAUGUCUUGUUUUUCUGGUGUGAUGGUGUAUCCAGGACUUGCUACGGUGGGAGAGUUUGGUUCUGAUGAUGCCAAGUAACCUUGGUUUCUGUUGCUUCUGUUCUUAAGCUUGCCUCCUGCCAUCUGAUUAUCUCAAGUGCUUGCUGCCCUCAGUAUAUCUGAUUGGAAUAUGUCCUUCCUAUAAUCCCAGUUGAUUCAGGACUCCUCAGAGUCCAGCUUUCUCUGUGAUCCUUUGAUUGUGGACUCCUGUUAACCUGAGAUUCUGGGUGUGUCAGAGUUUUUGGCAGUCAAGCUUCCUCUGAGACCCUGAAAUACUGGUGUGACCCACCUUAGGAUAUCCUGAGAUCCUGUUGUCCUGAGAUCCUGCACGUGUUACAGUGCCUGGAAGUGGUGUUGCCAUGCAGUCAGUGAUCCUAAGAUCACGUGGAGAGUCCUCUGGGGACUGUGGGGCUGUCCACAGACUCCACGUCCUAGGUGACUGGGUGCUGGCACUGACCAGAAGGGAUUUGUGCCCCUGGUCAGGCCGGUUUUCUACUUCCCUUCUGCUGUGUAAGGUCCCGCACGAUUGGAUUGGAACGGAUGUUGUGUUCCACUCACCAAUGAUCCUAAGAUCGAGUGGAGAGUCCUCUAGCAACCAUGGUGGUGUCUGCCAACUCUGCUCCCUAGGUGACAGGGUGCUGGUUCUGACUGGAAGGAACUUGUGCCCCUGGUCAGGGCAGUUUUCUGCUUCCCUUAGGCUCUUUUAUACUGAGCCUCACUAGAUUAUUUACCUGCUUUAGGGUCCUGGGCACCUAGACAUGCAUACUUUAAGACAUCAGCUCCUAGGCCUUCUAUAAGGAAAGGAAACCAAAAAAUUCAGUUAGUUUAUAAAUACUUUCCCAUUGUCUCUUUUGAAGUACUGUAUUGGAUACUUUAACAUGACUUAGUUAAAGAAACUACAUACAUUUUACUUUGUUGUAUAUGCUUAACUUUUGUAGAUUUAUAUAGAGGAGUAUUUUGCUGCUAUGUGUUUUCUAUGCACUAUGUGGUAGAAUUGAGUGGGGAAUGCUCUGGAAUUGGAGUUAUGGACAGUUGUGAGCUGCCAUGUGGGUAAUAGCACUCAAAACUCAAUGCACUACAAACAAAACUAGAUCGCUUAACUACCAAGCCAUCUCUCCAUAAUAUUUAUGUUACUUAUACGAUGUUAUAGAUAAUACGGAAAGUUUUAUCAUAAGGUCUAUUGUCAACUUUAAUGCAAAAAUAUAACUAAGAAACAUUCCGUC
rnacentral:lncRNA from 1 species